GGCAUGCUGAUGGUGCUUGCAUCAUGAUUUACAUUUGAGUGAAGUGGCGAACUGGUGAGUAACACGUGGGAAACCUGCCCAGAAGCGGGGGAUAACACCUGGAAACAGAUGCUAAUACCGCAUAACAACUUGGACCGCAUGGUCCGAGCUUGAAAGAUGGCUUCGGCUAUCACUUUUGGAUGGUCCCGCGGCGUAUUAGCUAGAUGGUGGGGUAACGGCUCACCAUGGCAAUGAUACGUAGCCGACCUGAGAGGGUAAUCGGCCACAUUGGGACUGAGACACGGCCCAAACUCCUACGGGAGGCAGCAGUAGGGAAUCUUCCACAAUGGACGAAAGUCUGAUGGAGCAACGCCGCGUGAGUGAAGAAGGGUUUCGGCUCGUAAAACUCUGUUGUUAAAGAAGAACAUAUCUGAGAGUAACUGUUCAGGUAUUGACGGUAUUUAACCAGAAAGCCACGGCUAACUACGUGCCAGCAGCGGGGGUAAUAC
rnacentral:rRNA from 2 species